GGGCCCGUAGUUUAGCUUGGAUAGAACGGCAGACUUCUAAUCUGCAUGUCGCAGGUUCAAAUCCUGCCGGGCCCA
rnacentral:tRNA from 1 species